rnacentral:misc_RNA from 1 species
CCAAUAGCGUAUAUUAAAGUUGUUGUGGUUAAAAAGCUCGUAGUUGAACCUUGGGCCUGGCUGGCCGGUCCGCCUCACCGCGUGUACUGGUCCGGCCGGGCCUUUCCCUCUGUGGAACCUCAUGCCCUUCACUGGGUGUGACGGGGAAGCAGGACUUUUACUGUGAAAAAAUUAGAGUGCUCCAAGCAGGCCUAUGCUCGAAUAAAUUAGCAUGGAAUAAUAAAAUAGGACGUGCGGUUCUAUUUUGUUGGUUUCUAGGACCGCCGUAAUGAUUAAUAGGGACAGUCGGGGGCAUCAGUAUUCAAUUGUCAGAGGUGAAAUUCUUGGAUUUAGUGAAGACUAACUACUGCGAAAGCAUUUGCCAAGGAUGUUUUCAUUAAUCAGGAACGAAAGUUAGGGGAUCGAAGACGAUCAGAUACCGUCGUAGUCUUAACCAUAAACUAUGCCGACUAGGAAUCAGACGAUGUUAAUUUUUUAAUGACUCGUUUGGCACCUUACG